UGUUUUCUGAGUAUGAAACAGUACAUUUGCCUUCCAAGCAAAAAGAUUAAACAUUAUUUUAAAGAAAACAG
rnacentral:tRNA from 1 species